AUGAUUAUCGUCUGGGAGCAGCAGUGUUCAACUGUGAAUUUUGUAGGCUAUCUCCAAAAUACCCCUUGCCCUGUGAAGAUGCUGACAGAGAUAACAGUGGAGCUCCAAUAUGGUAAAGGAUGGUUAUCUUGGAGAAGAUAUUUGAUGUUGGUGUUGAAGAAAGUUCAGCAAUGGCUUGGCUAUGAAAUGAGAUGAAGAGUUCUGGAAGCCUGUGUAGAAAGGCUCAUAGAAGAAAGCAGGUGAGACUUUACUAAAAUACAUAAGGAGUAAUAUUUUUUUUUUCAAAAAGGGUAGUUCUGUAUAAUGUAAUUUUAGGGGGAGUCUGGGUGAAGGUUAUGUGGAACCUCUCUGUACUAUGUAGAUACUUGUGAGUCAAUAAUUAUUUCAAAAUAAAAAGUUAAAGCAAAUUUUAAAAGAUAAAACAAAAUGAGAAGGUUGAGAUGGAGAAAUAAACUGUCUUAAGACAAAUUUCAUUUGAAUAUGUGAAAGGAAACGAAUGAAUCUGUCAACAUUCUUUUUGUUGUUGUUGUUGUUGUUGUUGUUAUUGUUGUUGUUGUUGUUGUUGUUGCUAUUUCUUGGGCCGCUCCCACGGCAUAUGGAGGUUCCCAGGCUAGGGGUUGAAUCGGAGCUGUAGCCACCGGCCUACGCCAGAGCCACAGCAACGCAGGAUCCGAGCCGCAUCUGCAACCUACACCACAGCUCACGGCAACGCCGGAUCAUUAACCCACUGAGCAAGGGCAGGGACCGAACCCUCAACCUCAUGGUUCCUAGUCGGAUUCGUUAACCACUGCGCCACGACGGGAACUCCUGUCAACAUUCUUUAUUCAAUAUUCAGCAAAUAUUUUUUGUGCACUUUUCCCUGUAGCAAACAUUUUUCUUAAUGUUGAGGAUACUGUGGUGAGUAAGGUAAAGUUCCUUUUCUCAGAGCUUACUUUCCAUUACAGAAAUAUAGUAAGCAAAUAAUAGUCAAAUAUAUAGAUAAUAUUUCAGAUAAUAGUAAUGCUCAGAAGAACAAUAAAGCAGGGUAAAAAGACAGAGUGAGAUUGGCAAGUGCUAUGCUAAAAGCAUUCACGGAAGGCUGAUAAGGUGAUAUUUGGGCAGAAUAAGGGGAGGGAACUGAGCCAUGUAGAUAUCUGAGAAAACAUUGCAGAUAGAUGCUAUGGCAAGUGCAUAGGCUUUAAAAUGGGAGCAUCCCUGGCAUGUACAAAAAGCAGCAUGGAAACAGAGAAAAGGGUGUUGGAGGAUGAGCUCAGGGAUGUAGGGUGAGUACAGGAAGCAUACUAGGCCUUGAAGGCCAUGGUUAGGACUUUUGAUUUAUUCUAAGUGAGGUGGGAAGGUUUUGAUCAGAGCAGUGACAUAAUCUGAUUUAUAUAUAUUUUAGGGUUUUUUUAAUUGAAAUUUUAUUUUUUAGAACAGUUUUAAGUUCACAGAAAAAUUGAGGGGAGGGUGCAGAGAUUUCCCAUAUGCCUCCAGCCCCCAUUCAUGCAUAGCCUCAACCAUUAUCAACAUCCCUCAUCAGAGUGGUCCAUUUUUUACAACUGAUGAACCUAUAUUGACACAUUGUAAUUACCCAAAUCACUAUUGAACUAAUCCAGGUGAGCGAUAUUGAGGCUUGGAAUGGGACUUUAGUGGGAGAAGGAAUAAAAUAAUCAGAUUCAGGAUAUAUUUUGAAAGGAGAGCUUCAGUUGAGCUGCCAUUUACUGACAUGGAGAGGAUAGUGGGGGAAGGUAGGUCUGUUGGCUUUGGACAUGUAGGUAAGUUUGAGUUGCCUCAUAAAAAGUGAAAUAGUGGUGUCAGAAAGAAAAGGAGUCUGCAGUUUAGGGCUAGGUUGAGGUUUGGGCAUAAAACUUGAAAGCCAUCGGCAUGGAAAUGGUAUUCAAAGUCAAGAGGCUGGAUGAGAUCACCAAGAAAAUUAAUUUAAAUGAAGAAGGCAGGUUGACUCAAGAACUGAGCCUUGAGUAGUCCUGACGUUUUAAGAUGAGGAUAAAAAAGAAACUAAGAAGAAGCAGACUAUGAGGUAGAUCUGAGAAAGGUGUCCAGAAGUCCAAGGGAAAAAAAAAAUGUUUUAAGAAGGAGAACGUUGGGAGUUCCCAUCGUGGCGCAGUGGUUAACAAAUCCAACUAGGAACCAUGAUG
rnacentral:lncRNA from 1 species